UCAAGAGGAGACUCCCCCACCAGACCUGCCGUCCUUCAGCCUGUGUAUGGGGCAGCAGAGCUGUUUCCCUCCUGCUCCUUCUCUGCUGUCAGAGGUGGACACAAGGAGUUUGGGCACAUCCCUGUGUCCCAGCUCCCAGCAACACACAUGACCAAAUCCUCACGCUUUCCAAGCAGCUAGAGGCAUGUCCAGAUGCUCCAGAGCGUGGAUUGCCUCAUCUUUAAAUAAUCCUCAAAUCCCAAGCAGAUUUAGUUUGUUCUGGUUUUGCUCCAGAAAUUAAAAGCAAUCUGGACGUGAGGAUCCCAGACUUUCAGCUCAGUGGUGUAACUGAUUUUUUUUUUCUUCUUUCCAUCCUGAGAACUGAAAAUGCGUUGAGAUAAGAAGCAGAAUGAAGUAGAGCUUGUGGGUGAUAAGUUAAAUAUUCUUUCCUGUCAAAUGUACAGAAGAGCAGGCCCCACCAUCUGUAUCUGUAGUGUAUCACUUGCUGUGAUGCUGGACAAUGCCUUGAUCAGGGAUGUGAGGAUGGAAUGGUACCUCUUACGUUUUGCUCAUUUGCUGAGGAGCAGGGAGAAAAGGUUUCAAGCUGUCUCUGGUGGUUGAAUAUUCGCAGUCACACAGUACAUAAAAAUAAUAAUAGUCUAUUGUAUUUGUGGAGAUAAAGUUGAAAGGCCUCGGAAAUUUAAAGCGUGGUUUCAGCCACGCUUUAGGAGAGUUAUUUAUCAGUGUCAUAAAACAGUAAGUCUGAUUGAUUAUUGUUAUCCCCAGCAGCCUGCUUUUGAGCAGGGCAUUGAGUGUUUAGAUUAGAAAGACAGAUAGCUUUUGGCUGGUGGCCUCAGGCAAGGUGUCACAGCACCUUCUUUCCUAGGAGGCUUUGGGGCAUCCCUGAGCCUUAUUCUGGAGCCUUGGCUAAAGGAAACAGAAGACAAAUGUAAGCAGAGCAAUAUAUAAAUAAAUACCCAAGAGGCUAAAAUCUUCUUUCAAAAAGAAGCAUUUGCAGCCAAAGAGUAUUGUACCAAUUAGCGGGCUCUUAAUUAAAUUGCUUGUUUGAUUUGCAUCCAAAUUAUAAUUUGGAUAUUAUGUAGGCUUUGAUACCUUUUCAUUAACAGUUCCUUUUGAAAAAAUCUAUUUUUCACUCUUUUUUCCGAGGCCUGUGGCACCAGAAGGUGGGAAGGUCAAUCAUUUUUGUAUCCAUUUAAAGUCCAUUAUUGGCCGGCCACUACAACCUAUCAAGCAACUCUCUUAUUUUUCCAGUCAGUGAUUCAGGAAUCUAUAGCUCUGUGCAGAUAAAUGGGAUUUCAUGGGCUUCUAACCUUCCUGCUUUAUUGAAAAGCAGAAUAUUAACUGCUCCACUGACCAGCUGUCCAUUAAAAACACAGGAUAUUUUUAGAAAAUUGUUUGCCAAUCAAAUCCUACCAACAUCUGUAGAGAGCCUUUCAGUUUGUUUGGUUUUUAAGCAAAUGCUACAGCUGCUUUUCCAGCUCCAUUGAAAUAUUCCCAUUUAUCCUCUCUCCAUGUCUCUGUCCUUGUCUCAGGUAUUGUAAGGAGCGCAGCGUGUUGGCUGGAAUUGUUAAAGCUGGGUUUUACAAGUCCAUUUGGUGCCAGCCCUUGCUGGUCCACAGGGCUCCCUGCCUUAUUUUCAGUUCAGUGAAAUUAGUGCUUUACAUUUUUUGCUGUUCCCAGGGCUAAAUGAGUUCUGUUAGCCCACAAGGCUGCAGGCAGGCUCUGGGUUAUUAGCCUGACAUCUGGCUAAUAACUGGCUGCAGUUUGGGAGCUGCAGCCUGGCGAUGUGUGCAAGGGCAGAUGCAGAGAGCUGGCUGCUCUGGGCCUGUGAGCUGACAACUGGCUCCGUCCCUCAGUGGCCAUCGAGCACUUACCCACUGCUGGUGGCAAGCAGAGCCCCAGUCCUUGUGCCCUUCAUUCUGUUGCUGCGGGGAGGUCCCAGUUUCUCCAGGCAUAAUACAAUUCUCCUGGUGAGUGCUUCAAUACCAGCUCUCUGAGAUGCUAUAAGCCAGGCCAACAAAUGCACGCGUUUCUUCAAAAUUAGCUUCCAGUUUAUGCCAGUGCAAUGCUUGUGUUAUCUUCUUAUUUUACCUCUUACAGAUUGGAAUCCAAUUUGUGGAAUAAAGAGGACUCUUUGGGUUUAAGCUGAUUGUGGGUUUCACAGGUAUACUGGAACAAGAUGCCAAAGAAAGCAGCACCAGCUAAAAUUUUACUCCUUCCCCUGCUUCAUGCUUGAUGACCUGUUUCCUUCUCUUCGCUGCAGGGCAUCGAUUUCUGUCCUGGACAGAAUGUCUCUGGAGUGACAACACAUUUGCAGGAGGAGCACAGCUCUUUGCCACUGCUCUUCCACCUGGGCAGGGACCCUGGAGAGAAGUACCCGUUAAGGCAGCCUGCUGGGAGUCCCGACACUAAUGUUUCUCAGAAGGGAAUCCAGCAUUCUCCUCCAAGCAUACAUCUGUCUGUCUGUACGUGCUGGCUGUGUUCGUAUCGCCUGUGCUCAGCCGGAGGUUCCCGUGCUCACAGUCCAUGUUGGCUACAACCCCCUGUCCAUCCCCAGGCAGCCCUGGAGGAUCGAGGUGCAUCACGCUUUUUCACCAGCUCGGCUUCUCCUUUGGUUGCCAAAGUGUUAAGAAAAAAUUGUGUUGCCUCCCUGAUUUCUUGGUACGUUUCUCUCUUUUAUUUAGUUUGCUAUUUUGCCUUGUUGAAUUCGCACGUGGUUUUAAUAGGUUUUCUGCUGCUCUUCUGGAGGCUGUGAAGGAGCAUCAUGGCACGCUGAUAUCCCGUGUUUCUCUAUGUUUCCUUUUGUGACAUUUAAAAUUAUUUUUUCCUUAUUUUAAUUCAAUCCUCUCCUCUCUCCCAAAAAAGAUUUUUAGUCAUAUGUUGUGUGUCUUGAUUUGCAUUAGUUUGGCAUAGUGGCAUGUGCAAAACCACGUGCAAAGAGGUUUCAUGGCUUCAUUUGAAGGCCAGGCAUCAUCACACACCUCCAGAGAGAUUUACAGUUUAUAUAUUUGGGCUCUUCAGAGCCAAAGUGUCCUGGAAAUCAGUCAGAUCAGUCAGCUGAGGCAACACUCCUGGCUUGCAGAGUGCUUAUAUUCAGGCAGUCUCAUGUGAAUUGUCUGUGAAUGUUUGUGAGAGUACUGCGUGAGAUGGAGACUUUUUCAAGGCUUUGAUUUCAGUUCAUCUCAGAACGUAGAAAUUGGCUUUUUCAGACAUUCUUGGAGAACUGGCUGCUAAAGGGACCACCAAAGAUACGGGUCCUUCGAGAUCUGGAGAGAGCAUGUGAAGUUUUCAGUUCCCUGGGCUUUGUGGUGAAGCAGGACAAGUCCUUCCUCUCCCUGACACAGCUUGCUGCACUUCCCAAAGCCUGCCUGGAAGCGUUAUCAGCAAAAGCUUAUCUCAGGAGCACUUCUCAUGCAAUGGAAAAACUGGUCAGGCCAUUACAGGCAGGCCCUGUCAUCACGCUGAGGACACGUCUGGCAGUUCUGAGCCAUAUGGCACUCAGCACUUAUGUUCCCCUACACGUGAGGCUGGGUGUGCAUCCUUCUGCAUGUCUGACUCUAGGAACAGACCCUCCCAACAGGGCAGUGGCUGUUCCUUCCUGCAGUUGCCCCUCUGUUUUGGGCUGGAUCGCCUCCAGCACCUCAUCUUCUGCCAGGGGAUGUAAUUGUGUUUGCCCCUAUUGCUUUGAAAGGUAACCACUGAUGUUUCUCCAGCUUGCAACUUCACCCCAGCAGCCCAACAGCCUCACCGACCUUCCACGUUGUUAGCUGGAACUCACAGCAAUGCCAAAUGCACAUUACGAAUCCUGCCUGAGCUUGCCCCAGUGCUGCCAUUUUUACAUCAUCGCAUCAGCAGAUGGGAUGGAGCACGAUCCCUGUCCUGUGGCUGACCUUCAGCAUUGGCAUCAGGUACACUCACUGCCAGGCUUUGAACCCUCUUUUGAGAAAAGAGAGGACUCACAUGGGAGCUGUGGGACUCUGGUCCUGGAGCAGAGAGGAGCUUGGCACCACAGGACGUGCUCUGGGUCUGUCUGGCAGCAGGAUGAGGUGGGGCACAAAGGUGCCCAGAGGUACUGAUAAGGCAACGUUGGCAUCAGGAGAGGUGCUUGUAAUAAGAACACCUGCAAUGCAAGGGUAUGUGUGGGCAGUGUAUUUCAAGGCAGUGUGGCUCCUGGUAAAUAAUGUUUCUUUUGCUUGCCAGAAAUGGCAACGUAACUGUACGUGUGUAAGUAAGGGUUACCUUGUUAUCUAGCCUUUGUGUAGAGAGAAAUGAACAUCCUGUGUCUUUUGUCAUUUGAGAGUUUGAGUAGAUCUGUCUCGGCUGCCUGCUAGAAGUUUUUUUUUGGCUUGUUUGUUUUUUAAGCUCUCAGCCUUUAAAUGCAGGUUGUGUGUUAGGCAGCACACAAAGCAGAAGCGUUUCUGUGAGUCUUAGCAGUAUUUUGUUUCCUCCCUAGAUGUACUAACUGAUUUUUGGGGGUUUGGGUUUUCUUGGUUGGUUGAUUUUGUUUCCCGUAAAAACACUCGAACUGCAGAGUGCCUUUCUUACCAAAUUUAUCAAAAUGCAGAACUAGAAGAUCUGAUAGGUCAUCUUCUUUACUGAAGUCUGUUAUGUUCAGGGUAUUGUGUGUCCCUCAAGUCCCACGCUUGGAGCUCGUUUCUCCACUCAGCCUAUAUUUGACAAAUUCAGUUAAAUUAUCUGUUGGUAUCUUCCCAACCAGCUGUCAGCUUUACCACCUAAGUUAGAGGUUGUAUUUUACUGAAAUGCUUCAUGGCAGUCAGGAAGAACACGAGCAGUACUACAUAGCAGGCACAGCUUAAAAUACAGCUAACAAAACAUGCAGUGCAAACUGAAGGAGACAGUGCAGCUUGGGUAAGGCUCCAAAGCUGCAAAAAGAGUUCAUAGCAAAAAUCCUCUGAAAUUCUGUUUGCACCAGAGCUAGAAAGCCUUGAUAGCAAUUAAGUACAGCUCACAUUUUGUUGGUACUCCGGGGUGGUAACGACGUCUGCUCUGAGCUAUUAGCUCUGUUCAGAACUGAGUUUGCUUCAUUUGGAAUGACAAAACACCUACAUUUCACUUAGGGCAAUGGAUUUGACUAUUAUGGAAGAAAAAGUGGAAGUGAUAAGAUGUGGUUGAUGAACGUAAUGAUUUUUAGAACGCAUUAAUUAACGAGAGAGCUCACAAAUGCCUGUUCUGAGCAGAUGGAAAAUCCUGGAAAUUAUCAGAGAGGUAAUUGCACUGGUUAUGGAAGCAGCAAAGAAGGGAAGAAGCUCCUGGAGGGAAGCUAGAGGGGAAAAGAUCUGAUAGGAAGGCUGCCAGUCUCACCUUAGUGAUCAGGGCAGAAACCUCUCUGCUGAGAAAAGAGGGAAGGUGCAAAACAGAGGGGGAAAUGUGUGUAACAAAGAGCCAGAACUUUGCCCAGGGGAGGUGCUGACUCCUCGCCUUCUUGGUUAAAAAAAAAAAAAAAA